UUAGCUGUGCUAGAGCUAGCAUGCGUAGACUCAUGCUAUAGCUGUCUCUGUUUUGCAGAUGCUCAAAAACACCUGUCAUUACUACACAAGAUGCAUCGUAGAAGUGUUCUCCUUCCUCCACCAAACGGACUUUUCACUCAAAGCCAUCCCUUACUGUCCAUCAUCUUAUUGUCAGCAAUCAGUGAAGUUACUGUACUUGCACUUCAAAGCAUUCUGCUUCAGUUAAGAAGUUGCUUAAUGAAUGAUUUCAUUAUGACGCAGUGCUCAGCAGAUCUGGAUCUGCAGCAUGGCUCCUGAAAGCAAUCAGCGUGUCAGCAAAAAACAAAAACCAUGGCAGCAACGAAGCUUUAAGGAUGUCUACGUGUUGGUAGUUUCUGGUGAUCUGUCUGAACUUAAUUCCCUCUCAGCUGAAAGGAUACCUCCCAUCAGUCCAUCUUGUUCCCACCUUCCACAUCUGUGACUUCUUUCCCUCUACAGCUUGAAAGGACACAAGAGUGUCUGCCCUAGCUUUCAGCACUUGGACCCAGAACUUGGCUUAGCUGAGUGAAGCCCAGAACUGCAUGUCAGUGAAAAAAAUAGCUGCAUUAUGCUAUGCAGAUGGAAUGUAUCUGGAAACUUGCUGUGAUGGUCUAUGAAGCUUCUACUGGGCAGGGAAACUGAAUUGUACAUAAAGCAUACAACAUGGAUGAACUUAAUUUUUCAUGAACGUUGGAGGGACACAUUCCAGCAUCAAGGCUAUUCCAGGGCCAAAUCUCAAAUCCUUAACCUUAUGUAAGAAGCUGGCAACUAAGGGAUUUGGCUCAAUCUCCUGCUGCAGCAGAUCAGUGCAGCUCUGAAGUUAGUGGAUGCAGGGUGAUUGAUACCAGGUAAACAUUUCGUUCAUGAAGUACAGGUUCACUAAAACAUGCUAUAUAAAGGUGGUGUGAUUCAAAGAUGUGGCAAAAUUCUUUCUGGAGGAAUAAGCUGAGAUAAGACUGCAAAGCUUUGCUGGACUGGGGGUAGCAUGGAGCAGGUUGUUUGGAUGAAGAAUUUGAUGCCAAAUACAGUGUUCACCUUGUUCUAAGUUCCUCUGCAUCUUUCUGUCCUUUUCCUCCUCAGUCAGUACUUCACUGGAUAUAACUAUUAAUGGGACUUACUUUUCUGUUCUACUGUACAUGAUAAUUUAAAUAACUGUUAAAUGUCCAACUGCAUAUUGUUAACCCUGGUAAGUAUAAAGUUGGAAUCUAUUCUUAGAUCAAAACUUGUGAAACUGGGGAAAACUUAGAUGAAAGAAUCAGACCUUCCCAUUAAUAGCUAUAUCCAGUGAAGUAAUAACUAAGGAGCUCUAUACUGUCCACAGCUAGAUAAUUGUGAAUAUUUUUUGAAGUAUUCCCUCUCUCCCCCUAAAAUGUGAGAGAAAUCGGAUUUCCCUCUGGACUGCGCAACUUUAAUUUGUUUGUAGUACUGAAGGAAGAUUCGUUUGAACAAGGAUUUUGGAAUGCAUUCACUGUUUGUUUAGU